rnacentral:rRNA from 1 species
CCAGACUCCUACGGGAGGCAGCAGUGAGGAAUAUUGGUCAAUGGACGAAAGUCUGAACCAGCCAUGCCGCGUGCAGGAAGACGGCUCUAUGAGUUGUAAACUGCUUUUGUACAAGGGUAAACCUGAAUACGUGUAUUCAGCUGAAAGUACUGUACGAAUAAGGAUCGGCUAACUCCGUGCCAGCAGCCGCGGUAAUACGGGGGAUCCAAGCGUUAUCCGGAUUUAUUGGGUUUAAAGGGUGCGUAGGCGGAUUGAUAAGUUAGAGGUGAAAUGUCCGGGCUCAACUCGGGAACUGCCUCUAAUACUGUUGAUCUAGAGAGUGGAUGCGGUAGGCGGAAUGUAUGGUGUAGCGGUGAAAUGCUUAGAUAUCACGAAGAACCCCGAUUGCGAAGGCAGCCUGCCGCAGCGUUACUGACGCUGAAGCUCGAAAGCGCGGGUAUCGAACAGGAUUAGAUACCCGAGUA